UACGUAGGGGGCUAGCGUUGUCCGGAAUCAUUGGGCGUAAAGCGCGUGUAGGCGGCCCGAUAAGUCCGCUGUGAAAGUCCAGGGCUCAACCCUGGGAUGCCGGUGGAUACUGUCAGGCUCGAGUCCGGAAGAGGCGAGUGGAAUUCCUGGUGUAGCGGUGAAAUGCGCAGAUAUCAGGAGGAACACCAAUGGCGAAGGCAGCUCGCUGGGACGUGACUGACGCUGAGACGCGAAAGCGUGGGGAGCAAACAGG
rnacentral:rRNA from 1 species